rnacentral:misc_RNA from 1 species
GAUGAAGAACGCAGCGAAAUGCGAUAAGUAAUGUGAAUUGCAGAAUUCAGUGAAUCGUCGAAUCUUUGAACGCACAUUGCGCCCCCUGGUAUCCCGGGGGGCAUGCCUGUUCGAGCGUCAUUUCACCACUCAAGCCUCGCUUGGUAUUGGGCAACGCGGUCCGCCGCGUGCCUCAAAUCGACCGGCUGGGUCUUCUGUCCCCUAAGCGUUGUGGAAACUAUUCGCUAAAGGGUGUUCGGGAGGCUACGCCGUAAAACAACCCCAUUUCUAAGGUUGACCUCGGAUCAGGUAGGGAUACCCGCUGAACUUAAGCAUAUCAAUAAGCGGAGGA